UGGGCUGUGGCUCAGUGGUCGAGCACCUGCCUAGCAUGCAUGAGGCACUGGGUUUGAUCCCAGCACCACAU
rnacentral:tRNA from 1 species